CAGCUUGCUUUCCCUCCCAGUGGUGACAGGCAACUUCAAUUUAAAGAGGAAUGGCCUCUUUGGCUUCACACCAACUGAUUUUGGGAGACUUAUGAGGUUUGCUGAACUGUAACAAAAAGUCAUAGGAAGAUGUAACUGCCCCACAAGGAGUUGGUUUUGGCUGCAAUUCUUUGGAUAAACAUCAGAAAACUAUCGAAGGCACAAUGAGAAGGUGUGAAGGAAAAGGUGAACAAUCAGCCCCUCAACACUCAGAAAAUCUGGUUAAGAAGAAUAACACCCAGUCAGAAAAUCAUCCCAUCAAGCAGAGACCUUGCUACUCAAUGCAUCAAAAUGAGCUGAAGUGAAGGAGAC
rnacentral:lncRNA from 11 species